AGCAGCCGCGGUAAUUCCAGCUCCAAUAGCGUAUAUUAAAGUUGUUGCAGUUAAAAAGCUCGUAGUUGAAUUUCGGGGUUAGUAGGUUGGUCAUGCCUCUGGUAUGUACUGGUCUCACUGAUUCCUCCUUCCUGAUGAGCCUUAAUGCCAUUAAUUUGGUGUUUUGGGGAAUUUGGACUGUUACUUUGAAAAAAUUAGAGUGUUUAAAGCAAGCUAACGCUUGAAUACAUUAGCAUGGAAUAAUGAAAUAGGACGUUCGAUCCUAUUUUGUUGGUUUCUAGGGUUGACGUAAUGAUUAAUAGGGAUAGUUGGGGGCAUUAGUAUUCAAUUGUCAGAGGUGAAAUUCUUGGAUUUAUUGAAGACUAACUACUGCGAAAGCAUUUGCCAAGGAUGUUUUCAUUAAUCAAGAACGAAAGUUAGGGGAUCGAAGACGAUCAGAUACCGUCGUAGUCUUAACCAUAAACUAUGCCGACUAGGGAUCAGAUGAUGUUAAUUUUUAAUGACUCAUUCGGCGCCUUAC
rnacentral:rRNA from 1 species